AGAGAUCCCAGAUGUUUUAAAACCACUACUCCCAUGAUGCUUUGCAUGCCUUUAGCAUGCAUUUCGCAUGGCAAAGCAUCAUGGAAGCUGUAGUUUUAAAACAUCUGGGAUCUCC